rnacentral:lncRNA from 1 species
GGUGACUGAUUUCUGAUCAUACACUCGGUCCAGGUUUAAAAAAGAAGACUUUUCAUGACAUUUGUUUUAUAAUGUAUAGGAGGCUUUCUGUUCACUUGUUCCUGGUCCUUAUUACAUGAACUGUUUUACAAGUAUUCUGGCCAAACGGUGACUAAGAUACUCGUAUGUCGCAAAAGGGGAGAGAACCAGAAAAAAAAAUCCUGAUGCAUAUGAUAAAAAUGUUCACAGGGAUACAGGUUAUGAAGAUAUAAGAAAAGCUUAUUUUGUAAGCUAUAUUUCAAAUAUACUCAAAUCCCCGAAUUAAAAAAAAUGUUGACUUUUGAUUUUUAUGUUUUUUUUUACAAUGGUUAAUUGGGAGCAUACACUGUAUUAACACUUUUGAAUUCUAGAUAAAUACAAAAGUUUUCACCUAAUGAAUGGCUGUUAUUUAUUUUGAAU